GAACGGGCUCUUCGGAGCUAGUGGCGGACGGGUGAGGAACGCGUGAGAACCUGCCUCAAGGUCGGGGACAACAGUUGGAAACGACUGCUAAUACCGGAUGAGCCGAAUAGGUAAAAGAUUUAUCGCCUAGAGAGGGGCUCGCGUCUGAUUAGCUAGAUGGUGAGGUAAAGGCUUACCAUGGCGACGAUCAGUAGCUGGUCUGAGAGGAUGAGCAGCCACACUGGGACUGAGACACGGCCCAGACUCCUACGGGAGGCAGCAGUGGGGAAUUUUCCGCAAUGGGCGAAAGCCUGACGGAGCAAUACCGCGUGAGGGAGGAAGGCUCUUGGGUUGUAAACCUCAAAACUUAGGGAAGAAAAAAAUGACGGUACCUAAUGUAAGCAUCGGCUAACUCCGUGCCAGCAGCCGCGGUAAUACGGAGGAUGCAAGCGUUAUCCGGAAUCAUUGGGCGUAAAGGGUCCGUAGGUGGCACUUCAAGUCUGCUUUCAAAGACCGAAGCUCAACUUCGGAAAGGGAGUGGAAACUGAAGAGCUAGAGUAUAGUAGGGGUAGAGGGAAUUCCUAGUGUAGCGGUGAAAUGCGUAGAGAUUAGGAAGAACACCAGUGGCGAAGGCGCUCUACUGGGCAUAUACUGA
rnacentral:rRNA from 1 species